rnacentral:rRNA from 1 species
GAUGAACGCUGGCGGCGUGCCUAAUACAUGCAAGUCGAGCGAACAGAUAAGGAGCUUGCUCCUUUGACGUUAGCGACGGACGGGUGAGUAACACGUGGAUAACCUACCUAUAAGGCUGGGAUAACUUCGGGAAACCGGAGCUAAUACCGGAUAACAUAUUGAACCGCAUGGUUCAAUAGUGAAAGGCGGCUUUGCUGUCACUUAUAGAUGGAUCCGCGCCGUAUUAGCUAGUUGGUAAGGUAACGGCUUACCAAGGCAACGAUACGUAGCCGACCUGAGAGGGUGAUCGGCCACACUGGAACUGAGACACGGUCCAGACUCCUACGGGAGGCAGCAGUAGGGAAUCUUCCGCAAUGGGCGAAAGCCUGACGGAGCAACGCCGCGUGAGUGAUGAAGGUCUUCGGAUCGUAAAACUCUGUUAUCAGGGAAGAACAAAUGUGUAAGUAACUGUGCACAUCCUGACGGUACCUGAUCAGAAAGCCACGGCUAACUACGUG